rnacentral:rRNA from 1 species
AGAGUUUGAUCCUGGCUCAGAACGAACGCUGGCGGCGUGGAUAAGACAUGCAAGUCGAACGAGAGAAUUGCUAGCUUGCUAAUAAUUCUCUAGUGGCGCACGGGUGAGUAACACGUGAGUAACCUGCCCCCGAGAGCGGGAUAGCCCUGGGAAACUGGGAUUAAUACCGCAUAGUAUCGAAAGAUUAAAGCAGCAAUGCGCUUGGGGAUGGGCUCGCGGCCUAUUAGUUAGUUGGUGAGGUAACGGCUCACCAAGGCGAUGACGGGUAGCCGGUCUGAGAGGAUGUCCGGCCACACUGGAACUGAGACACGGUCCAGACACCUACGGGUGGCAGCAGUCGAGAAUCAUUCACAAUGGGGGAAACCCUGAUGGUGCGACGCCGCGUGGGGGAAUGAAGGUCUUCGGAUUGUAAACCCCUGUCAUGUGGGAGCAAAUUAAAAAGAUAGUACCACAAGAGGAAGAGACGGCUAACUCUGUGCCAGCAGCCGCGGUAAUACAGAGGUCUCAAGCGUUGUUCGGAAUCACUGGGCGUAAAGCGUGCGUAGGCUGUUUCGUAAGUCGUGUGUGAAAGGCGCGGGCUCAACCCGCGGACGGCACAUGAUACUGCGAGACUAGAGUAAUGGAGGGGGAACCGGAAUUCUCGGUGUAGCAGUGAAAUGCGUAGAUAUCGAGAGGAACACUCGUGGCGAAGGCGGGUUCCUGGACAUUAACUGACGCUGAGGCACGAAGGCCAGGGGAGCGAAAGGGAUUAGAUACCCCUGUAGUCCUGGCAGUAAACGGUGCACGCUUGGUGUGCGGGGAAUCGACCCCCUGCGUGCCGGAGCUAACGCGUUAAGCGUGCCGCCUUGGGAGUACGGUCGCAAGAUUAAAACUCAAAGAAAUUGACGGGGACCCGCACAAGCGGUGGAGUAUGUGGCUUAAUUCGAUGCAACGCGAAGAACCUUACCUGGGCUUGACAUGUAAUGAACAACAUGUGAAAGCAUGCGACUCUUCGGAGGCGUUACACAGGUGCUGCAUGGCCGUCGUCAGCUCGUGUCGUGAGAUGUUUGGUUAAGUCCAGCAACGAGCGCAACCCCUGUUGCCAGUUACCAGCACGUGAAGGUGGGGACUCUGGCGAGACUGCCCAGAUCAACUGGGAGGAAGGUGGGGACGACGUCAGGUCAGUAUGGCCCUUAUGCCCAGGGCUGCACACGUACUACAAUGCCCAGUACAGAGGGGGCCGAAGCCGCGAGGCGGAGGAAAUCCUAAAAACUGAGCCCAGUUCGGACUGUAGGCUGCAACCCGCCUACACGAAGCCGGAAUCGCUAGUAAUGGCGCAUCAGCUACGGCGCCGUGAAUACGUUCCCGGGUCUUGCACUCACCGCCCGUCA